rnacentral:sRNA from 1 species
UUACAGUUGAUCAGACCCAAACACCAAGCUUAAAGACAGUCAAGCCAGCACUUCGGGACCAGCUUCACUCUUUUUGGAGCUCCAAGGUUUUAUUGUUUUUGUUUUCAUCUGCAUUAUUUCUUUUCUUAACUCUCUGCAGUGUUUGCAUCUAUAUUCAACUACUAACCUUUGUAAGCCUUUUACGCAUGCACAUAUUUGAUUUCAAAUGUUAUUUAAAUGCAAUGCCAGACUCUUAAGUCUUCUGGAGAAACUUAAUGGUGAUACAUGUUUGGAAGGCAUCACAUUAUUGCCAUCUAACCCUAAGCUGGUAAUGCAAACUCACUCUAUAAAGUCUUAUCUAAUUUUAUGUUUGUGAUUUCCCAUUACUUUUUUUUUUUUAAGUGUCAGGCGUUUUAACAGGUAUUUUGGGCAAAAUGUCAGUUUUGCCUAUGUAUUAACUAAACAAAAAUUUUUAAAUUUAAUCUCAGUCCCUUUCUUCAAUUAUCCUUAACUGAAAUAGUAACUUUCUUUUUUUUUCUGAUGUAUGCAUAACAUUUGGAGUUAUCAUUAACUUUCUCAUUUGUUAAUAUACACACAUUUUUCAGUUAAUGUAAAAACUAAAUGGAUUCCAAUUUGUGAUUUAAAAUGAUUAUUAAAUUUUACAUAAAAGAAAAAAAAUAAUGUAAAAGAAUAGCUCCUGAAUUCUUUGCUAAAGGUUUUUUUUUUUUUUUUUUUUUUAGUUUUUAUUAAAUGAGAUUAAAGUCAGGGAAAUAACAAGCAUAUGUGCUUAUACGAGUCCUAUAUUUUUCUGCUCUAUCCUGCACGAAAUAUAUUUCUACAAGCGUUACUGCCCAGGAUUGAUUUUUCCCUUAAGUUUCUGAAUGCAAUUGUGCCUCAGAAUCACAAUUA